GACAGGCGAUAUAACAAAGGGGCAGAGUGGAAAGGAAAAAGAAGAAACAUGCUACAGAGAAGAAAGAGCCAGGAGAAAGAACAUCUGGAGUAGGUAAAGAAGGACAUCAGUCAUGAGAAUCAUUAUCUUCAGUCUUUGCCCCAGACACCAGGGACAGUGGACCAGAACUGCAUCAUCCUGAAAGGACACAGUUUGCCUCUCAAGUUCCAGAUGAAUUUAUAAGCUGGCAGGACGCCUGGCAAGAACAAAAGCAUGAUUUUUUUAAUAUAAACUCAGCCAGUUUUGCCAUGGAAGUCUCUCAGAUGCAAGAACCUCAUGUUUUUCAAAGAACUUCAGAAUUUCUUGAUACCUGAGCACUUGACCUCAAAACAUUAAUGCUGCAUUUAAUGUGUCAUUUUUGCAUGUAAUUUUAAACCAUAUUUCUGACUGACCACCUUGUGACCAGAAAGGAAGUUAUGGAGAGAACUAGCAUAGAACACCCCUCUGAGGGUUAACUAACAGUACUUUGGAGUCUAUAGUGAGACAGAGUGGUCUCCCUCUGAACCAGAGCAUGAGGGACCACUACGCUCCCCCUGGUGGACGGAACCAGCUCCGCCCUCCUGCCAGAAGCAGAGGGGCAUGACUGGAAAUAUAAAAGGCAGGCCCUGAAAGUCAGUUGGCUGGAGCCACCGAAGGAGGCAGAUGUCUCCCAGCCGCUGUUUGAGCAGGAACCUGAAGAGGAUCCCUGCGGUACUGAGGACUUGGAGGAACUGUCAAAACUGUCUACCGACAGGGACCCCAAGAAGCUUCCUGAACUGCCACUUGCUGAAUACACCGAGGAGAUGGAGGUUAAUGAAUGCAGUAUUUCUGAAGAAAUGAAUGAUCUGGAACUUCCAUGCAUCUGACAAAGUGGGUAUUCACCCACGAAAGUUCAUGCUCCAAUACAUCUGUUAGUCUAUAAGGUGCCACAGGACUCUUUGCUGCUUUUACUGGAACUUCCAGCUGUCCAGCCUCAAUCAGACC